rnacentral:lncRNA from 10 species
CCAAACCUAAGUCAUCUGAUUUCAGAGCCCAUACAGUUAAAUGCUCUAAAUGCAGCUUCCCGUGAUGAUGGUGACUAUGAGAGCCUGUCACAUAUGAUGUAGGACAGUGCUUCCCUGUAACAUGCACAAGAUUCCUGUGAUGAUGGUGACUAUGAGAGCCUGUCACAUGAUGUAGGACAGUGCUUCCCUGUAACAUGUGCAAGAUUCCCGUGAUGAUGGUGACUAUGAGAGCCUGUCACAUAUGAUGUAGGACAGUGCUUCCCUGUAACAUGUGCAAGAUUCCCAUGAUGAUGGUGACUAUGAGAGCCUGUCACAUAGGAUGUAGGACAGUGCUUCCCUGUAACAUGCACAAGAUUCACCCAGGGAUCUCUUUAAAAUGCAAAACCAUAGACCACACUUUGACUGGCUUGGAUAAGGGGUCAGAGCAUCGAAAUGAGUGUGUAGGUGACUGUGCUAAAAUUCUCCUGCUCAUGUGGGCACUGGCUCAUGAUAUUAACAAAGCUUAGGACCUCUAGUCCUUUCUGGAAAGAAAAUACACAUACAUAGCAUGUGACUGUGCAUAUGGAAUAUCUGUUGUGUUCUGGACAUUGUGCUGGACAACAGAGAUAAGAAGUCAAAUAUCCCUUGUCUCUAUCUGAAAGGAGCUUCC